rnacentral:rRNA from 1 species
UACAGAGGUGGCAAGCGUUGUUCGGAAUUACUGGGCGUAAAGGGCGCGUAGGCGGCCUUCUAAGUCAGACGUGAAAUCCCCAGGCUUAACUUGGGAACUGCGUCUGAUACUGGGAGGCUUGAGUGUGGGAGAGGGAUGUGGAAUUCCAGGUGUAGCGGUGAAAUGCGUAGAUAUCUGGAGGAACACCGGUGGCGAAGGCGGCAUCCUGGACCGGUAUUGACGCUGAGGCGCGAAAGCCAGGGGAGCAAACGGG